UGGGGAAUUUUGGACAAUGGGCGAAAGCCUGAUCCAGCCAUGCCGCGUGCAGGAUGAAGGCCUUCGGGUUGUAAACUGCUUUUGUACGGAACGAAAAGCCUCUUUCUAAUAAAGAGGGGUCAUGACGGUACCGUAAGAAUAAGCACCGGCUAACUACGUGCCAGCAGCCGCGGUAAUACGUAGGGUGCAAGCGUUAAUCGGAAUUACUGGGCGUAAAGCGUGCGCAGGCGGUUUUGUAAGACAGAGGUGAAAUCCCCGGGCUCAACCUGGGAACUGCCUUUGUGACUGCAAGGCUGGAGUGCGGCAGAGGGGGAUGGAAUUCCGCGUGUAGCAGUGAAAUGCGUAGAUAUGCGGAGGAACACCGAUGGCGAAGGCAAUCCCCUGGGCCUGCACUGACGCUCAUGCACGAAAGCGUGGGGAGCAAACAGGAUUAGAUACCCUGGUAGUCCACGCCCUAAACGAUGUCAACUGGUUGUUGGGUCUUCACUGACUCAGUAACGAAGCUAACGCGUGAAGUUGACCGCC
rnacentral:rRNA from 1 species